UGGGUUUUUAGUUUUUAAUAUAGUUUGGUAUUGACACUUAGUCACUUGAAAAUGGUUGUGUAUGGACUUUAAAGAAAAUUUUUUAAUUUGAAUGUGGUUGGGUGUUGAUACUUAGUAACAUAAAAAUGGUUAAGUGUAAGACUUUAAAGGAGAUUUUUUUCUUCUGAAUGUGGUUUGGUUUUAAUACCUAGUCACAUAAAAAUGGUUAAGUGUAAGGAGUUAUAAGGGAAU
rnacentral:lncRNA from 1 species